UGACACUAUGGUUAGUCAGUGUCCGAAUAGAGUUGGAUCGUUGUACACCUAAUUGGUGUCAUGGGAAUCAGAGAUAGUCCUCCAGGUUUUAAGUAUAAUCCUCUCUAGAAGACAAAUGAUCUGGGGACACAUCUUAGUAGCAGAUGCCGGACUGAGUAUGACCAUUCCCCUCAAUGUUACAGGUGGUGAUACUGGGUCGUGGGCCCCCAACUCCUCCCUUGAAGCGUAUCAGGACCACCAUGUUGCCCACCUCCUCAGUUGUGGAAGCUGAGGAGUCCAAGAUCAAGAUGACAGCAGGUUCACUUCUCUGGUGAGGGCU
rnacentral:lncRNA from 13 species